rnacentral:lncRNA from 1 species
AGGGUGUUGUUUGGGGUGUUGGGGUGUUCCUAUGGGUGCUGGGGUGUUCCUAUGGGUGCUGGUUGUUCCUAUGGGUGCUGGGUUGUUCCUAUGGGUGCUGGGUGUUCCUAUGGGUGCUGGCUGUUCCUAUGGGUGCUGGGCUGUUGUUUGGGGUGCUGGGCUGUUCCUAUGGGUGCUGGGUGUUCCUAUGGGUGCUGUUGGGUGUUGUUGGGGCCUGCUGGGUGUUGUUGUGGGUGUCGGGGCCUUGUUGCUUGGGCUGUUGCUAUGGGUGUUGGGCUGUUCUUUGGGGUGCUGGGGUGUUCGUAUGGGUGUUGGGGUGUGGUUGGGGUGUUGGGGUGUUGUUUGGGGUGUUGCUAUGGGUGUUGUUGCUAUGGGUGUUGUUGAGGCCUUGUUGCUGUGGUGUUGUUGCUAUGGGGCUGUAGUUACUAUGGGUGCUCAGGGUGUUGUUGCUCAGCCCCCCAUAUUCCCCCCCCUCUCCCCCCCAUAACCCCGGACCCAUAGGGACAGCCCUGACCCACUUGGAAAUGGGGCCAGGGCCUGGGGCAGCAUGGAGCCUGCAGGGCCUAUAGGGGGGCAGGGCCUAUAGGGGAGCAGGGCCUAUAGGGGGGCAGGGCCUAUAGGGGGGCAGGGCCUAUAUGGGAGCAGGGCCUAUAAGGGAACGGGUCCUAUAGGGGAGUAGGUCCUAUAGGGGAACAGGGCCUAUAAGGGGGCAGGGCCUAUAGGGGAACAGGGCCUAUAGGGGAGCAGGGCCUGUAAGGGAGCAGGUCCUAUAAGGGAACAGGGCGUAUAGGGGGGCAGGGCCUAUAUGGGAGCAGGGCCUAUAAGGGGGCAGGUCCUAUAAGGGGACCAGGGCCUAUAGGGGACCAGGGCCUAUAGGGGGGCAGGUCCUAUAAGGGAGCAGGUCCUAUAAGGGGACCAGGGCCUAUAGGGGACCAGGGCCUAUAGGGGGGCAGGGCCUAUAGGGGAGCAGGGCCUAUAGGGGAGCAGGGCCUAUAAGGGAGCAAGGCCUAUAGGGGAACAGGGCCUAUAGGGGAGCAGGGGCUAUAGGGGAACAGGGGCUAUAAGGGGGUAAGUCCUAUAAGGGAGCAGGGCCUAUAGGGGAGCAGGGGCUAUAGGGGAGCAGGGGCUAUAGGGGAGCAGGUCCUAUAAGGGAGCAGGGCCUAUAGGGGAGCAGGGCCUAUAAAGGAACAGGGCCUAUAGGGGAGCAGGGGCUAUAGGGGAGCAGGGUCUAUAGGGGAACAGGGCCUAUAGGGGAGCAGGGCCUAUAAGGGAGCAAGGCCUAUAGGGGAACAGGGCCUAUGGGGGAGCAGGGCCUAUAGGGGAACAGGGCCUAUAAGGGGGCAGGGCCUAUAGGGGAACAGGGCCUAUAAGAGGGCAGGGCCUAUAGGGGAGCAGGUCCUAUAGGGGAACAGGGCCUAUAAGGGGGCAGUGCCUAUAGGGGAACAGGGCCUAUAAGGGGGCAGGGCCUAUAGGGGUGGAGGAGACCC